GACGAACGCUGGCGGCGUGCUUAACACAUGCAAGUCGAACGGAAAGGCCCUGCUUUUGUGGGGUGCUCGAGUGGCGAACGGGUGAGUAACACGUAAGUAACCUGCCCUUGACUUUGGGAUAACUUCAGGAAACUGGGGCUAAUACCGGAUAGGAGCUCCUGCUGCAUGGUGGGGGUUGGAAAGUUUCGGCGGUUGGGGAUGGACUCGCGGCUUAUCAGCUUGUUGGUGGGGUAGUGGCUUACCAAGGCUUUGACGGGUAGCCGGCCUGAGAGGGUGACCGGCCACAUUGGGACUGAGAUACGGCCCAGACUCCUACGGGAGGCAGCAGUGGGGAAGAUUGCACAAUGGGCGGAAGCCUGAUGCAGCAACGCCGCGUGCGGGAUGACGGCCUUCGGGUUGUAAACCGCUUUCGCCUGUGACGAAGCGUGAGUGACGGUAAUGGGUAAAGAAGCACCGGCUAACUACGUGC
rnacentral:rRNA from 1 species